rnacentral:rRNA from 1 species
UACGAAGGGGGCUAGCGUUGCUCGGAAUGACUGGGCGUAAAGGGCGCGUAGGCGGAUGGCACAGUCAGAUGUGAAAUUCCUGGGCUUAACCUGGGGGCUGCAUUUGAUACGUGUGAUCUAGAGUGAGGAAGAGGGUUGUGGAAUUCCCAGUGUAGAGGUGAAAUUCGUAGAUAUUGGGAAGAACACCGGUGGCGAAGGCGGCGACCUGGUCCUUAACUGACGCUGAGGCACGAAAGCGUGGGUAGCAAACAGG